UGGGGAAUAUUGCACAAUGGGCGCAAGCCUGAUGCAGCCAUGCCGCGUGUGUGAAGAAGGCCUUCGGGUGUAAAGCACUUUCAGCGAGGAGGAAGGUGGUGACUUAAUACGUCAUCAAUUGACGUUACUCGCAGAAGAAGCACCGGCUAACUCCGUGCCAGCAGCCGCGGUAAUACGGAGGGUGCAAGCGUUAAUCGGAAUUACUGGGCGUAAAGCGCACGCAGGCGGUUUGUUAAGUCAGAUGUGAAAUCCCCGGGCUCAACCUGGGAACUGCAUUUGAAACUGGCAAGCUAGAGUCUCGUAGAGGGGGGUAGAAUUCCAGGUGUAGCGGUGAAAUGCGUAGAGAUCUGGAGGAAUACCGGUGGCGAAGGCGGCCCCCCUGGACGAAGACUGACGCUCAGGUGCGAAAGCGUGGGGCAGCAAACAGGAUUAGAUACCCCUGGGUUAGGCCAC
rnacentral:rRNA from 1 species